AUGCACGCUAUGUCUGACUGAAAACCGGGAGAUUUAAAAAACACAUGAAGAACUCUAGUAUGAUUUUAGCAUCCGCUUGGAGUACGCCAUGGCCGGAUAUGCUGCAAAGACUUGAAAGAGCUAUUAAUGCAAGCAUCUUCUGUCAGAAACCUUCCCAUCAUUAACUCUGGAGCCCAGAUUGCAUUUCCACCUCCUUUGAUCAAGGAAAGAAACAAAAGGGUUGAUCUGUGUCCUGCAGGAUCUGCAUCUCCCUAUGGUGCUUGAUGUUAUUCCUGGUUCCUAGAAGAAGUUCAGGGUACCAAAUGAAGAAAUCGUGGCUUUCCUGGUUGAAAAUGCAGAGUGUAUAUUACCUAAGUGUACAACACUUGCAAGUUAGGCAAGUAAAAAAAGUGUAUUAAUCUAUGAGGGGUUUUGAGGGAAGAUUGUUUUUGGUUUGUUUGAUUUUGGGUUGGUUUGUUUUUGUGGGUGUUUUUAAGGCAACCUUAGGGCAAGCUAAAAUGCAAUGAUUUUGUUUCUAGACUAGAAAAGAAAUUUCCAAGCUUCAUAGUCGUGACCGGAUCCCUAAGGCACCGGCCAUGUUGCUUGAUGAGCUAGCUGAGAAAUGCCUAGGAUACCGUGGUGCAGCUAUAAAAUCCUUCUGUUCUGAAGCUGCGCUGUGGAUUUUUAAGCCGCUUUUUGAAAAUUCAGUAGGGAAUAUUUUAGAAGCCGUGCAGAAGAUAUUUCCGCAUGCAGAUGGUGCGCUAAAGAAGGACCAACAGCAAGGUAUAACCGUAGCAUCCACUUCUUGAAAAUUCUGCCAAAGCACAAUCUUGUGG